rnacentral:rRNA from 1 species
AUUGAACGCUGGCGGCAUGCCUUACACAUGCAAGUCGAACGGCAGCACGGGAGCAAUCCUGGUGGCGAGUGGCGAACGGGUGAGUAAUAUAUCGGAACGUGCCCAGUCGUGGGGGAUAACGUAGCGAAAGCUACGCUAAUACCGCAUACGAUCUAUGGAUGAAAGCGGGGGAUCGCAAGACCUCGCGCGAUUGGAGCGGCCGAUAUCAGAUUAGGUAGUUGGUGAGGUAAAGGCUCACCAAGCCGACGAUCUGUAGCUGGUCUGAGAGGACGACCAGCCACACUGGGACUGAGACGCGGCCCAGACUCCUACGGGAGGCAGCAGUGGGGGAAUUUUUGGGACAAUGGGCGCAAGCCUGAUCCAGCAAUGCCGCGUGCAGGAUGAAGGCCU